rnacentral:lncRNA from 1 species
ACGAGAAAAUAUUGGGUACCCUAACAGUGCCACGUCAUUCGUGCUCUGAACCAUUCAUUGCGCGACACGUGUCCGUCUGUCAGUCCACGUCGUCCACCUCUCCGUUUCGAACCAGCGCGCGGGAGCUUCUCUCUCUCCUCUCUCCCUGGCCCACCUCUCUGCACCUUCUGACGCUCUGCUCUCCUCUCUCUCCUCUCUUUCUCUCUCCCCGUUCUCCGUUCCGUUGCGGGGAGGGAGAACAAAAUUGCGACGGUUCAGAGCAAAACAUAAAGUUCGCUCUGCUCUCUCUCUCUCCCCCCUUCGACGGCCCUCCACCUCCGUCGCCCCCGACGCCGACGCCGACGCCGACGCCGACGCCGACGCCGACGCCGACGCCGACGCCGACGCCGACGCCGACGCCGACGCCGACGCCGACGCCGACGCCGACGCCGACGCCGACGCCGACGCCGACGCCGACACCGACGCAGCCUACGCCUCCCUCUCGUGACCUCUGGUCGGCUUUAUCUCUCUUUCGUCCUCGAAGGCGCGGCUCUCUGCCAGCAAAUCGCGACGCCGACGCCCCUCCGC